UACACUCCUACGGGAGGCAGCAGUGGGGAAUUUUGGACAAUGGGCGAAAGCCUGAUCCAGCAAUGCCGCGUGAGUGAAGAAGGCCUUCGGGUUGUAAAGCUCUUUUGUCAGGGAAGAAACGGUGAAAGCUAAUAUCUUUUGCUAAUGACGGUACCUGAAGAAUAAGCACCGGCUAACUACGUGCCAGCAGCCGCGGUAAUACGUAGGGUGCAAGCGUUAAUCGGAAUUACUGGGCGUAAAGCGUGCGCAGGCGGUUUUGUAAGUCUGAUGUGAAAUCCCCGGGCUCAACCUGGGAAUUGCAUUGGAGACUGCAAGGCUAGAAUCUGGCAGAGGGGAGUAGAAUUCCACGUGUAGCAGUGAAAUGCGUAGAUAUGUGGAGGAACACCGAUGGCGAAGGCAGCCCCCUGGGUCAAGAUUGACGCUCAUGCACGAAAGCGUGGGGAGCAAACAGGAUUAGAAACCCGAGUAGUCCCAUG
rnacentral:rRNA from 1 species